AGAAAAUCUGAGACGCCCCAGGGUAGCAGUCAGAUGACCUUGGGACAGGGCUCUGCCGGAACUUAAUCGAAACGCUGGUAUUCCCGAGCACGAUCGUGAACGCUAACAGGACAGUGAAAGAAGAAUGUCUAACUCACACUCCCGGCCCAGUAUAAACUCCAUGCCCUGGCCUGUUCUGACAGACAGGAAGUGCUCCUAUCAUCUCCAUGGGAAAGAGUGGAGCCGGAGACCCCUCCUCAAACAGAAGGCGGGUUUAGAUCAACACACAAAACAGGUUCUCACACACAAAGAGCUUACCUUUACAAUACCUUACAGAAAACCACUAACCCUUACAGUUUAACUAUGACUAUUUAGAGGUGAAAAACAUGUCAUGCCUUUGUGAUGUAUGUCAGUGUUUUCAGGAGGGUGUUAUUUAGACACAUUUGGAGGUAGAUGUAAAAUAAAGAGUACCAGAGCCGGCAGGGUAGCCUAGUGGGGCGGCAGGGUAGCCUAGUGGUUAGAGCGUUGGACGAGUAACCGGAAGGUUGCAGGUUCAAACCCCCAAGCUGACAAGGUGUUUGCAAGAAUGGACAACUGCUGGUAUCUGUCGUUCUGCCCCUGAACAGGCAGUUAACCCACUGUUCCUAGGCCGUCAUUGAAAAUAAGAAUUUGUUCUUAACUGACUUGCCUAGUUAAAUAAAGGUAAAAUGAAAGAGCCAUAUCUAUAACUUGGGGGUAUAAUAAACAGUAUAUAAAAAGUCAGCUAUAAGCCUAACUAGAACACUAGGCUAUUUAUCCCUGAAUAAAUUGUGAUUUUUUUGUUUUGUUUUCAACAAUCAAUUCUUAUUUAUAAAAUGUUUCUAAGCAUGAUUUCCUUUGUUUCUAAAGAUUCAAUAAUAGUCUUGUCUGCACCGUGAAAUAGAAGCGCUUUCUUCCCGCCAUGAAUGGCUGGCAAUUCUCCGAGCCUUACAGCGCCAUUGAACUGCUUGGGGAAGCAAUUGACGCAUCCCAGUGGAACUGCCGAGAUGCACCAUGUAUAUUUUUUUUUAUCCCCGAGGAAACAGAGGAGGUGGAAUAGGUGAGGUUGAGGCUCUUCCAAAAACUAUCAUCGUUUUCUUUGGACAUACUCUAGGCUACUUACCGCUUCACCUCAUCAACGAAAAUGUAAAAAGUUAACAGCGUUAGGCAAGUUAUGCCGGUCCGGGACGAAUAAACUCUCCGCUUUCGCCGUACAGGCAGCCCGAUAUGUCUUGAUAGUAGGUGGUACUGUAGUGUUUGCAAGAAUGGACAACCGCUGGUAUCAUGCUGCAUUAAAAUCAGUCUCCGUUGUGUCUCUGACAAUGCCUACCUGGACACAACAUUCCCGGUCGAGGCAAUUGAGUUGUCUUCAGAUAAAGUUCACAAUAACACCAGAAAAUUAUCCAGAAAAGCACACUUAUCUGGCUGUAAAGUGUGGAUGUACAGAAAUGCAAAAUUUCAAAAUAUUCUGAGGGGACAGUUUCCGGGUAAAAGCGUCCUUGUCCUCCGUCUUUUUCGAACUGUCACCCUUUCUUUCGUCCUGUCAGUCUGGAGUUUUUCUAUUAAGUUUCUUGGACUCGAGUCCCUCCCCUUUCUGGCAGAGCUGACCAAUGGCAGAGUGGACUGUGCGUAUCGAAGGGGAAAUAAUAACCUGUUCGCCAACGUAACCUUGCGGGCGUCCUUCCGUUGCCAUCCAUGACCUCCAACUGUCCGUCGGUGUUCCAAGGCUCGAGAAUAGCACCUCCAUUCGUUAUCUUUUACUGUAGGCAACAUUGAAUUAGUGGUGAGUUGACAAUUUCCCUUAAACGCACACACACACAUCCCUCUACAAUGUGUUCCUCUAUAGUUUUCACCUGGCCUAUGGAAUCUGUGAAAUUAAAUGACCAAUGUGCCCACUGCCCUACUGAAGAAAUUAGAGUAGUAGCCUCAUAAUAAACUGUCUGUAAUUUGGGGUCAAAUACUAUAGAUUAAUAGGAGAACAGGAAAUAACCUUUUUAUGUCUCUGAUGCCCUUGGUCACUUUCACACGCGCAUGCAGGCGCACACACAGACAGAACUGACAAAUAGAACUGUAAGAUGCCCAUGCAUCUCCUCCCUAUUUCCAAAACAAGGUUUAGGACACAAACCAGCCUUGCCAGGAGAGACCAGCAGGGUAGCAGAGCAGGUUUGACUGUCAGAGGAGAGGUUGUGUGUUUGUACUCAUAGCAGUAAUGUGAGAUGGGUGUUGUCUCAGAGUGAGUGGCAGUGACACCCAAAGCACCUCCAGAUCCCUCUACACCACACAUGUCCUGUCUCAAUCAAAUCUAACCCAUUUUGGGGAUGGUAUAAAUGGUAUAAUUUAUCUACUUUCCAUCACCAAUACUAAUUUGAGCAGGCAGGAUUAUUAUUAUUUUUUUAACAUCAGUGCAGGGGAAGGAACGGAGACUGGAAGGGGACACCACUUCCGACUAUUGCAAUGAAACACACGGGUUCAGUCAGAAUUUCCAAACACCGAUGAGAUACAAUUGAAACCAACUAAAGCAAAUUGCUUUUUAGUGACAAGCUUUAUAUUCUGCGCCAUCUAGUGGAGUAAUCCGAGCUGUACAUGACCUUUGCCAGUCGGCCACAACACGUGCAAGGUGAAAGGGACAAUCCAUACGUAACUUUGUCUGUAAAUCUGCUAGUAUUUAUGCAUGCCAUGAACCAUCAUGACUUUUAAGGACUCCAAAUGAGACAUUGAAAUGAUAGCCUAUGUUUGUUUUAAAAACAAGCUUUAUUCCAGACAGUACUGUGCAGCCGUCUUCAUCGACCUUGCCAAGGCUUUCGACUCUGUCAAUCACCAUAUUCUUAUCGGCAGACUCAGUAGCCUCGGUUUUUCAGAUGACUGCCUUGCCUGGUUCACCAAUUACUUUGCAGACAGAGUUCAGUGUGUCAAAUCGGAGGGCAUGCUGUCCGGUCCUCUGGCAGUCUCUAUGGGGGUGCCACAGGGUUCAAUUCUCGGGCCGACUCUUUUCUCUGUAUAUAUCAAUGAUGUUGCUCUUGCUGCGGGCGAUUCCCUGAUCCACCUCUACGCAGA
ensembl:lncRNA